rnacentral:rRNA from 1 species
GAUGAACGCUGACAGAAUGCUUAACACCUGCAAGUCAACUUGAAUUUGGGUUUUUAACUUAGAUUUGGGUGGCGGACGGGUGAGUAACGCGUAAAGAACUUGCCUCACAGCUAGGGACAACAUUUAGAAAUGAAUGCUAAUACCUGAUAUUAUGAUUUUAAGGCAUCUUAGAAUUAUGAAAGCUAUAAGCACUGUGAGAGAGCUUUGCGUCCCAUUAGCUAGUUGGAGAGGUAACAGCUCACCAAGGCGAUGAUGGGUAGCCGGCCUGAGAGGGUGAACGGCCACAAGGGGACUGAGACACGGCCCUUACUCCUACGGGAGGCAGCAGUGGGGAAUAUUGGACAAUGGACCGAGAGUCUGAUCCAGCAAUUCUGUGUGCACGAUGAAGUUUUUCGGAAUGUAAAGUGCUUUCAGUUGGGAAGAAAGAAAUGACGGUACCAACAGAAGAAGUGACGGCUAAAUACGUGCCAGCAGCCGCGGUAAUACGUAUGUCACGAGCGUUAUCCGGAUUUAUUGGGCGUAAAGCGCGUCUAGGUGGUUAUGUAAGUCUGAUGUGAAAAUGCAGGGCUCAACUCUGUAUUGCGUUGGAAACUGUAUAACUAGAGUACUGGAGAGGUAAGCGGAACUACAAGUGUAGAGGUGAAAUUCGUAGAUAUUUGUAGGAAUGCCGAUGGGGAAGCCAGCUUACUGGACAGAUACUGACGCUAAAGCGCGAAAGCGUGGGUAGCAAACAGG